UCCAGACUCCUACGGGAGGCAGCAGUGAGGAAUAUUGGUCAAUGGGCGAGAGCCUGAACCAGCCAAGUCGCGUGAGGGAAGACGGUCCUAUGGAUUGUAAACCUCUUUUGCCGGGGAGCAAAAAGCGGUACGUGUACCGCAUCGAGAGUACCCGGAGAAAAAGCAUCGGCUAACUCCGUGCCAGCAGCCGCGGUAAUACGGAGGAUGCGAGCGUUAUCCGGAUUUAUUGGGUGUAAAGGGUGCGUAGACGGGAAUGCAAGUUGGUUGUGAAAUCCCUCGGCUUAACUGAGGAACUGCAACCAAAACUACAUUUCUUGAGUGCUGGAGAGGAAAGUGGAAUUCCUAGUGUAGCGGUGAAAUGCGUAGAUAUUAGGAGGAACACCAGUGGCGAAGGCGACUUUCUGGACAGUAACUGACGUUGAGGCACGAAAGUGUGGGGAGCAAACAGGAUUAGAUACCCGAGUACG
rnacentral:rRNA from 1 species